UCUUUCUUCUUCUAUUCUUCUGCCUUCUUCUCUGUUCUAAUCACCCGAACCUUUCCUCUCUUCUCUUUUCUUUCCUCUUCUCUUCUCCUGCACUGCCUUCCCCCUUUCUUCUUCUACCCACGACAAACCGCGAGAUGUGAGAGUUGAGAGAGUGAGAUUGAGAGUGAGAGAGUGACGGGGAAGAGAGGAUCCGUGAGGUGAGGACCCGAUCCUCCAUGAUCGGCAGCCGAGACUGGAAUUCGGCGAUGGAGGAGCUCCGGCGGAACCUAGGAGCCGAACCACGAAGACCCGUAGCCUAGACCAGCGACCCGUGAGCUCAAACCCGUGCGACCCGAGCAACCCAGAACCCGACGGCUUGAAGGCUGGUUUUUCCGGCGAAUUUCCGGCGGUCCAGUGGGUGUUUUCCGGCCUAUCCCUGUAGAUCCGUGACCCAGAACCGGUACAACCCGUGACUGCAACCCAGUGACCCGCUGAACCCAUGUGGAGACCCGGUUCUCCAUGGCGUUUUCCGGCGACUAUUCCGGCGAUAUCUCCGGAUCGUGUUAUAAUUGGAGACUUCAAUGGGUUCUCCAAUGUAGAGUUCGAGUAAUUGGAAUCCAGUGGAAGUUCGAGUCAGGAGUCUAAUGCAGCCAAGAUGAUGUUUCUUUGGCUGCAGGUACUACGGUAUAGUCGAUGGGUCGGUAGCAGUGUGCUUGGGAUAAUAUGACUGAAGCUCACCGCGACGGUUAUAAUUGUCGGACCACGGGUUGUCCACUAUUUUAUAGGAUUGGUAUAGCUUGUGAUGUUUGUGUCACAUAUUCUUUGUAAAGCUAUAGUAGUUUUGUAAAUAAUGUGUUAAUAAGACUCAUACAGAUAGAUGUUAAAUGGCUCUUUGUUGUAAUUAAUUUGUGAUAGAUGUAUAAGUUGUAAUUUCCGCUAUUCA